GCCACUAGAGGGAAUAGGGGAAGGCUUAACCCAUUGAUAAACAUAGCAGUUUCUCUGAAACUGCUAUGUUUAUAGAAAAAAGGGUUAACCCUAGAUGGACCAGGCACCCAGACCACCUCAUUAAGCUAUACCAGCCGCGAUACCCACGGUGUCUCAUCCUACAUACCCUGGCCGCAAGGCCUCGGCUAAGGUGAAGCACUCAUCCAAAAAAAUGAUGGACAGUUCUAAACCUGUCACAGAUGGCGCGCAUAAUGAUCCACCGUGCAAAAGAGCCUCUAGCCGGGCAAAAGCGGCUAGGCAUUGGAAAUGGGCUAAAGCCCAACCAGAUUAUACUGAGUCUGAACUCAGUUCGGAAGAGGAGAGUGCAUCUUCAUUAAACUCAGACCAAUCGAAUGAUUUAUCUGACUUAGAUUCAGUCUACAGAUUUGGUGAGGAUUCAAAACCCUCUACUGACUUGCAUACCACAGACAUGUCUAACUCGGAUUUAACUAAAGAGGGCAAAAUACUCGACCCACAGGGCGAACUCUUAUUUGAACCUAAUGACUUACGUUAUCCCCGCUCAGCGGAAUGGUCACCGGCUGAACAUGUGGCACAAUAUGUUGCUUCCCGGGUCCGCAAGCCUCUAGAUAAAGCUGCCAGAAAUAAGUUAAGGGCGGAAUGCCCACGCCCCACGGUACCUGACGAGGUCUGUAAGACCCCCCACGUCAACCCCAAAAUUAUUCAGUUUCUAAGCAAAACUGUAUGGAAACCAAAAAAAGGUUUAGAUUUCUUAUUAUACAACUGCCAAG